GGAGCAGCGCUGAGUUUCAUCUGAGUUUUCGCCACAGCUGUAGAACCAUCUACAACAUCGUUUCUCUCCGUCGACACCUUUCCCGAGGCGAUGGGGAACGAGGCCAGCAUGGAAGGGGAGGGACAGGCGGGACAGCCCGGCCCCGCCGUCCCUGCAGCGGGGGCUCCGGCUUCCAUUUCAGCACCACCGGACUCUGGACAGCUCAUCAAGCCCAGCAAUGGAGCGCCAGCCGGAGGAAGUGGAGCUGCACCCGGGCCGGGGAUUAACAGACCACCUCCGUCAGACCCGGGACCUAAAGCAGGAGUCCAGAGUGGUCAUGGGACAGGGGACAGGUUGGCCUCCCACGACACCCCUCAGCAUGCUGCACCUCAAGGAGAGCAGGGCCAGGGUCACGUGGCCAGGAAGAGUCUGCAUGUGGAUGUGGGUAGCAGCAGGACUGGAAGGUCCCCCUCUGUGUCCCCAGACCGAGGUAGCGUCCCCACCUCCCCUUACUCUGUGCCACAAAUUGCACCCAUGCCCAGCAGCAAACUUUGCCCCGUCUGCAAAACCACUGACCUGAUGGGCACUGGGGACGACAAGCCGAACUUCAACACCUGCACACAGUGCCGCUCCAUGGUGUGCAACCAGUGUGGCUUCAACCCCAACCCUCACCUCACAGAGGUUCAAGAGUGGCUGUGUCUGAACUGUCAGAUGCAGAGAGCAUUGGGGAUGGACAUGACCACACCGCGCUCCAAGAGUCAGCAACAGAUACACUCUCCUUCUCAUGCAGCCAAACCAGAACUUAAACCUGAUGCUUCGACUCAGCCUGCACCCCAGACACAGCCCCCUCCCCAGACGCAGCCUCCAGCACAGGCUCACCCUCCAGCACAGGCCCACCCUCCAGCACAGGCUCACCCUCCAGCACAGGCUCACCCUCCAGCACAGGCUCACCCUCCAGCACAGGCUCACCCAGUGCCUGGUCCCACCAAACAGACUGGUCCAGCUGGCCCAGGUCAGCAACAAGCAAGGCUCCCUCCUGGGGCAGUCGCUCUCCCUGGCAUGGCCAAGGCCCCUUCUCAGCCUGAUCUGUCCCGCAACUCCCCUGCCCAUCAACCCCAGCACCCCCGCCAGGACCAGACUCGCAGUGCGGGGAGCUCCCCUUCACGUCAGCCCCCGCCUCCAGAGCAGACUUUUGGAAAGCUGUUUGGCUUUGGUGCUUCUCUACUUAACCAAGCCAGCACUCUCAUAUCUGAGACUACUCAACCCCAACAACAGCCCCCAAAAACAGCCCCUAAACCAGGGGGACCUCCUGGUCCAGGGCCCGGGGCAGGUAAACCCUCAGGACCUCAGCCUGCACAACAAGGGCCUCGAGGCCCUGCUCCGCAGCAACAACAGCAAGCUCCCCCAGACUCCUCUCAACCCAAAGCCUGCUGUCCUCUCUGCAAGACGAACCUCAACAUCGGCAACACGGCAGAACAACCCAACUACAACACCUGCACACAGUGCCACCAACAAGUGUGCAACAUGUGUGGAUUCAAUCCCACUCCACACCUUGUCGAGAAGAAAGAAUGGCUGUGCUUGAACUGCCAGACGCAGAGGGCUCUGUCAGGAAGCUUGGGAGAUAUUCCAGCUCCUGUUGCACAGCCCGUGGGAUCCCCCCGGCCACCUGCUGCAGCCAAUCAACAACCACCUCAGCAGAAAGGGCCAAAUCAACCUUUAGGGCCUAGGCCCACAGGUCCUCAACAACAACAGAAACCAUCGGGUCCCCAAGUAAGUGGCCCUGUCUCUCCUGUGAAACAUGUUGGGCCUGCCCCUCAAACCAAGGGGCCGAGCCAAGCCUCCCCUCAAACCAAGGGCUCUGCCCAACCUGUUCCCCAACCUAAAGGUUCAACUCAGCCACCUUCCCAAACUAAAGGUCCAACACAACCCUCAGCUCAGAGUAAGGGACCUCAACCUAAAGGUCCUAAUCAAUCACAGUCUCAGAGUAAGGGCCCUGUUCAGUCUGCUAACCAAAUAAAGGGCCAGAGCCAGGCCAAAGGGCCAACUCAGGCAAAGGGAUCUGUUCAGCCCUCAGCUCAGACUAAGGGCCCUUCUCAUCCUUCUGGUGCAAAAGCCACCCCUGGUAAACCUGCACCCAACCAUGCCAAGGCCUCUCCCACCCCAUCAAAGACAGCACCCACUCAGUCUAAACCCACAGGUAACAACCAGGCCCGCAAACAGCCGCAGAGCCAGGAGAAGACUAAAGUCGUGUCUAAAUCUCUAAAAGAAGACGUCAAGGCCUCACCGAAGAAGACAAUGUCAGAGACUGUCACUUCACCAAAAGACAUGAAGAUAACUGAAGAUACACAGAAGUCAAGACACCAUGAAGAUUACAACAAGUCAAGCACACAGAGUCUAAGUGACACUGGAUACUCCUCAGAUGGCAUCUCCAGCUCUCAUGGAGAGAUUACAGGACAGAUCCGGGAAGAAGGAAUCAAGCUCAGUGAACGAGGUGUGUCCAUCCCAUCAGAAAUCACCAAGCUAGAGAGCUCCAUGAAGCCUCUACUGGAGUCAAAGACGACAUCAGAAAAGCACAGGCCACAUUCACUGUCUGUAGGACAAGGCCGGGACUACAGUCCUGAUGAUGAUGCAGCAAGAGAUGAAUCAGAGGAUGACCUCAGCUGUAAGCUUCGCCAUGACUACGUGGAAGAUAGCAGUGAAAGUGGUCUCUCACCAUUGCCAGUAAGACAGAAGAAGUCACAUAAAGAUUUAACAGAUGAGGAAUUCAUGAGGAGGCAAAUUAUGGAGAUGAGUGCGGACGAAGAGGAGACGGAAGAACAUGGAACUCAGAAGACUAAAAGGGGACAUAAAACCAGUGGGGAUUUGAGCAAAGAGAGACGACGACUCUCUCAUCAUUCUAACAGCUUUGAGGAAGACACCAAGGCAUCAGAGGCAAAUGAUGAGGAAGAUGUCGUAAUGGCUGGAGGACUUCGGCGUUUCAAGACCAUCGAACUGAAUAACACCAACAGUUACAACCGAGACAUGGAGCUCAGCACUGAGCAUGAUCUACGGGAACCAGAGCUGGAGAUGGAGAGUCUGACUGGUUCUCCUGAGGAGCGCUCUAAAGGAGAAUAUUCAUCCACCCUACCUGCCACCACUCCCAGCUACACCUCCGGAACAUCCCCUACAUCUGUGUCAUCCAUGGAGGAUGACAGUGACAGCAGCCCCAGUCGUAGGGCAAGACUAGAGGAGGCGAAGCAGCAGAGGAAGGCUCGACAUAGGUCCCAUGGGCCACUACUGCCCACUAUUGAGGAUUCAUCUGAGGAGGAUGAGCUUAGAGAGGAGGAGGAGCUGCUGAGAGAACAGGAGCAGAUGAGAGAUCUAGAGCAACAGAGGAUCAGAAGCACUGCCCGAAAAACAAAGAGGGAUAAGGAGGAGCUACGGGCACAGAGACGCAGGGAAAGAUCCAAAACUCCCCCCAGUAACCUCUCUCCUAUUGAAGAUGCAUCUCCAACAGAAGAGCUAAGACAGGCUGCAGAGAUGGAGGAGCUUCACAGAUCAUCAUGUUCUGAAUACUCACCGUCAAUGGACUCAGAGGCAGAGGGCUUUGAGAUGAUUGGUGGAAAGCUUUACAAAUCAGGAAAUGAAUACAAUCUUCCAACUUUCACAUCGCUCUACUCCCCUACAGAAAAGACAUCAGCAAUAUCACCAUCUGAUAAAACACUAAAAAGUGCAGAGGAGGUCUAUGAGGAGAUGAUGAAGAAAGCACAGCUCAUGCAGAGGCAAGGACAUCAACAGAAAGGUGGUUCUCAGCCUGACAGUAAACAGCAUCUUGAAGCAGGAACUGUUCUAACCCCGGGCUCGAGCCCAACGCAGGUUACUGCACCUAUGUCCUUCUCCACAACCGGGAGUGAUCCGAGAAUUCCAGCAAUUCAUGCAGCACAGCAUUUAUCAAAAGAAACACAAAAUAGGAUGAUGUCACAGAGUGCCAAAAUCGAAGGCGUUGUUGGAGUUGCCCCAACCAAAGCCCAAGUCAGUCAGACUGCCACAUCUCGACAGGCAGGUAGCACAGUGCCUGCUAGCAGCAGAGCAGGCUCCCAGAGGCCAACACAGGCAUCACCUGACCCUGGAGCAUCCUCCCUAGGCUCCAAAGUUUUCUCCUUUUUUAAAGGUCCCAGCCCCCCAGUCUCCCCAAGCACUUCUCCAGCACAAAGCCCAACGCAUUCACCGUCCGUUAGACCCACUGGUGGUAGCGGCAGGCAGCUGCCGUCUUUGCCUGGUGGUCCUACAUCGGCUGGAGCAUCUCACGGAGGUCAGGCACCUCAAAGGGCAAUGUCACCACGUCUUGCACGACAGCAGUCCUCUCAAGACUCACCAGUGAUGGUGAUUACACUAGGCUCCGACAAAACAAGUCCCGCCAAGCCAAUCACUGUAAAUUCUUCCACUUCCCCUUUGUCAUCGCCAACACAGGGCAGUUGUAAAACUUUGUAUAGUUCCCAGCCCACCUCAGCAAGUUCCCCAACAUCACCACAACGGCAUCCGUCACAACAGUCUCCCAAACAUGCCUCACACAUGACUCAAAAAGUUGAAAAAGUAAGUGUUGGUAUUAGCACUGUGACAACAACUGCACAUAGUCGUGGAUCUAUGGAAAACAUAUCUCUAUGUAAAAUCUCAAAUAUUCCUGGCUCUUCAAUGGUUGUGGGUCAGGGUGUGUCGAGUACUAAUGUGGUGGAUCUCAGAUCCCCCUUGAGGCCAGCUCCGAUUAUUAUUACAGACCAGGGGAUGGACCUAACAUCCCUUGCUUCUGAUUCAAGGAGAUACUCUUUAGGAACAGAGCAGCCGUCUGGUCGACACACAGCAGUACAACCUCUUAUUAUGAACCUGAAUGCACAAGAGCAACCGCACAUAUCUGUAUCAACACCAACCACAAUUAGCGUCACAGUUGCAGGUUCUAUGUUCAUGUCCCAACCCAAGCAACCAAUCGUGUACGGGGAUCCUUUGCAAAAUCGUAUGGAUUUGGGGCAGGGUGUUGGAUCCGCUGUGUGUCUGACCCAGACCAAGCCACCUGUCACUGACCCAUCUAUUCCCAAAAUUGAUGCCUGCCUAGAAAACCUGGGUAUACAACAGCAACAGCUUCAGUUGCAGCAGCAGAAACUCCUGCAACAGCAACAGCUUCUUGAGCAGCAACUCCAGCAGCACCAUCAGCAAUCCUCCUUUGCACGUUACAAUUUAGCUAAUCAGGUCCAGCCACUGCUGAUGAAAAAAGACCUCGUAGUGAGCCAGACAAGCAGUGCCCAGCCUGCGGUGACUGCUAGUGCCAUUCCUAGACUAUCCCCCCUGGCUUCACCAUCAGUGUCCGCUUCUAAUGCUCCUCAUGAAGUCUAUAGUGGAGUUGCCUUAGAGCUAAAAAACAAGCCAACAGUAAUGAACUUGUCCACGGGUAAGCCCCAUGUUAUGAUGGUGCAAAUGGAUGAAAGUAACACAUCGCAGGGGGGUACAGUGACUCAACUGGUGAAGCGAGAGGAGCCUCCCCCUCCUCCCCCUCCUCAGGUCUUGGAUCUCACUGGACAGAUCAAACCAGAAAACCAGGUGGCUUGUUGUGAUGUUGUUUACAAAUUGCCCUUUGCUGGUUCCUGUUCAGGGUCAUUCACUCAGAAGCCUACAACAGUAUCCUCAGAUAAAAAUCCCACCACUGAAGCCUCUCAAGCAGCCCAUCCUCCCUAUCCACCACACUACAAUGUGAGCCAACAACAACAGCAACAACACCAGCCUCAAGCUACACAAGGGGUAACAGAGGAACAUAAACCAUAUCAACCACCCAUAGUCCCCUCAGGAAGAAUUCAGCCCUCCAUGUCUGAUACUAAUUUGCCAUCCAUGACUGAUGCUGGUCACUAUCCAGGUAACGUCCAGGGGGGUCUUGCUGUUGAUCUCAGCAGCAUGAAUCAAGCUUAUGAUGGCGGAUACCUUGGCAUUGGAGCACAGUAUGGAUCUUACACAGACUUGCGUCACCAAGGAGACUUUGCAGGCCCUUCCUUACCCCUUCGCAGAUAUGGCUCCAUGUCCAAUAUCAGUGCUGACUAUGCCUACGGUUCACGCGACCCGACAGCACCACAGGACUCCAAUCUGGCUCAGUAUAGUGCAACCACUGCCAGGGAGAUAAGUCGCAUGUGUGCAGCUCUUAACACUGUGGACCAGUUUGGAAGCCGGUAUGCGAAUAAUCCUGAACUGGUAGCAUAUGGGGCUGGAAGGGGUGGACCUUUAGCUAGACUAAACCUCCAGCAAAGCUUAGCAUCAAUAAGAGCAAACUUACUGUAUGGACCAGAUGGGAGGCCAACAGCAAAUGGCCAAACCCUAACAAACCUAAUAAAUGCUAGACAAGCAAGUAUACGCGCCUUGUACCCUGCUGCUAUGAGAGGAGGUGAUGGCAUGAUAUACUCCACCAUUAACACUCCCAUAGCCUCCACCUUGCCAAUUACCACCCAGCCUUCCUCUGUCCUGCGUCCCAUGCCUAGAGGAAUUUAUAGACCAUACCCUACAGGUGUAACUGCUGUACCAUUGGCUAGCCUCACCAGGUUGCCUCAAGUCAGUCCCAGAAUGCCUCUGUCCACACAGGGACCAUAUUCCUACCCUCCUCCCACCCAGUAUCCUACAUCAGCCACACCAUCAGGAAGCGUGCCUGAUGUAAGCAGCACACACCAGGAAACUGCUGUGUACCUGGGGAAGCCUUUAACAACAGUAGCUGCGCAAACACCUGCAACCGUUCCACCCAUUCAACCUGCAGCACACUUAGGAGCACAAAAUGUACCAGCAACAGGCAUGCAAACCACGGCAGAUCAACAAACGCUCACUCAACUUACCACACAGAGUGUUACGUCCCUUCCUCAAGCUCAAGGCCAACCUCCAAAUGUUCAGCAAGUGCAGGCUCAAUUGCAGCCGCACCAGUUGCCUGCUCAAACCGAACCUUUAUCUCUAACCCAGACCCAACCUCAAGUUCAACCCAUCAGUCAACCUCAACCAUUAGCUUUGCCACAGGGCCAGCCACAAGCUGCCCUGGCACCAAGUUCCAAACUUUCUCCUCCCACGGAUUCCCAGAAAAGUAAGGAAGAUGAAAGACUGAGUCAGCAACAAGAGCAUGUGCUGCAGCUGGAGCGGGAGCGUGUUGAACUGGAGAAAUUACGGCAGUUGCGCCUACACGAAGAGCUUGAAAGAGAUCGUAUGGAGCUUCAGCGACACAGAGAAAAAGAACAACUUAUAGUUCAGCGUGAGAUUCAAGAGCUGCAGACAAUCAAACAGCAAGUUCUGCAUCAACAGCAAGCAGAGCGGGAGACACAACUCAUCAUGCAAAGAGAACAACUGGCCCAGCAGAGAAUGCAGCUUGAGCAAAUUCAGUCUCUGCAGCAGCAGCUACAGCAGCAGUUGGAGGAGCAGAAAAGGCAAAAGACGGCAGCAGUGGAGGCAGCAGCUGCUGUUGCAGCAGCAGAGGCAGCUGCUGCAUCAGCAGCAGUGGCAGCAGCAGCAACGUCCGCCCAGGGUGCUAUACAAGGGGUAGUUGUUGGAGGGGCCCCUCAAGGGUUCAUUAUUUGUGACCAGAGUGGUAGAGUUAUCCAACAAGAUGGUCAGAGUGUUCAGUUUUGGCAGGAUGGACAAGUGGUCCAAGCUGUGGUGGCUGCUCGACCUAUUCAUAGUUCUGCCUCUGAAAUGUCUCUGAGAAGCAGCGACAAACAGGCUGAUUCCAAGAUCAUGAAAAAGCAGAACUCCAUGCCUCGGCUGAGGGAUGGCUCGGAGGAGGACUCUGUGAAGAGGAUUACUGACAGCUGUGUGCAAACAGACGAUGAAGAAGGAGAGGACAGGUUCAUGAACAGGCGUAGGAGAACAAGGCGUAUUGCAGACUGCAGUGUGCAGACCGAUGAGGAGGACCAGGGAGAAUGGGACCAGCAGCCAGUGAGACGCAGGAGGUCACGCGCAUCAAAACACUCUGAGUCCAGUGGUGAGGCUAAAUCAGAUGGGUCAUCUAAAGUGGCUUCUGCAAGUAUAGCUAUUCAGACCACAAAUGAUUCAUCAUGCCAAACAGAGUCCGACCAAUUAGGCAGGAUUUCACCUGCAAUCCAUAUUACCAUGGCGGAGACCUCAAAGGUUGACCUAUUACAUUACAUAGCGGCCCCUGAGAGGACCCACAAAGGAGAGAGUCUUGCCUGCCAGACAGAACCAGAGUCUCAGUCUCAGGGUGUGGUCGUCCCUCAACUGAGCGUCCCGACGACUAUUAGUCCGUACUCCACAAGUCUGCAUAUUGUCGGUGCAAACACAUCUGACCCAACCUCACCUAGACUCCAAGGAGUCGCUAAAUUUGAGAGGAGAAAACCAGACCCCCUGGAAAUUGGCUAUCAACAAAAUGAGUCUCCUUCUCGCCAGCCGCCCAAAUCUCCCCAGGUGCUGUAUUCCCCUGUAUCUCCACUGUCUCCUCAUCGCAUGCUGGAGACCACAUUUGCCUCCCAGGAGAAGCUCAACAAGGCCCAUGUUACGCCCCAGCAGAAAGCCUUUACUGCUGAAUCACCCCAACGCCACCAGACCCUACCAAGACCCAUAAAGAGUGUGCAGCGCUCCAUGUCGGAUCCGAAGCCUCUCAGCCCCACAUCAGAGGAUCCUGCCAAGAACAGAUUCUCCCCAUAUCAUCAGCAAGCUGUGUCCAACAGUCAGAUGGCCUCCCUGCAGCAGCAGCAGAACUCUCUGAUGAGGAAAAUAAAGAGGACUCUUCCCAGCCCCCCUCCAGAGGAGACUCCGCUCCCCAUUGUGACUCCAGCGCAAAUGUACAGCUCUCCUGGCAUGCCCCAGAGGGUCCUUCCGAGACCUGCCCAGGGGGUCACCAAGGCCGGCCUACUGAGCGAACUAAAAGCUGUGGAACAAGAGUCGUCGAAACUCCGAAAGCAGCAGGCUGAACUGGAGGAGGAAGAGAAAGAGAUUGACGCCAAGCUACGUUACUUAGAGCUCGGCAUCACCCAACGUAAGGAGACCAUGGUGAAGGAGAGGGAGAGGAGAGAGCUGGCUUACCUGAGGUGUAUGGGUGAUGCUCGGGACUACAUGUCGGACAGUGAGCUCAAUAACCUCAGGCUGGUGGCUGCAACAGGAACCUUUGAUGCUAAUGGUCUGCUGACAAGGCCCAGUACUGCACCGUUGAGCCAGUUUACUAAUGACCUCAAUGCCACCUCCCAGUAUCCCUCGACCUCGUCCUAUAUGUCUUAUCCAUACCCUCAAAGUCAGCCAUCAACGCAACAGCCAGGCGCUCCUUACCAACAGAUAGGUUUCCAGCCUCCUCAGUAUCCUUCAUCCUCUGCACCCCAACCAGGAACGUUCCAGCCUCAUCCCCCUCCAGGCCCGGGCUACCAGAACCAGGGAACUUAUUCCAAUCGCAUGUACAGCCAGUCCUCCUACCAAACAGACCUCAGCAUGCAGCAGCACGGUCACCAGGGUUUCCAUCCACCUGGUCAGCCUAUGCCGAGCCAGACCCUUCCUUACCCCAGCCACAGUUCCUACCAACCCGGGCUCUCGUACCAGCCCCAGGCAGAGAUCCUCACAGUUCAUCAAAGACCACGACAAACAUCCCUGGCUGACCUUGAGCAGAAACUCCCCACCAACUACGAAGUUAUUAGCAACCCAGCAGUGUCAGUGGCUACCUCAGCUCCAGAUACCAACUUUGGCUCAGUCUACAGCAACGCGUAUGGACAGUAUCGCCCCCCGGAGCCUGGCCUCACUCACUCUGUGGACAGCCCCACCUCUGCCUACGCCUCAGAUGGACUCUACACCUCCAACCUGGAGCAGAAUAUUCCCAGGAACUAUGUCAUGAUUGACGACAUCAGUGAGUUGACAAAAGACAACACUAGCCAACCUACUGAUGCGCUAGGUCAUCCUGUAGGAGGGCGGUAUCGCAGUGAGAAUGGCCCUGCACGUGGGAGUGCCUACGGUCGGCCCGAAGAGGAGUCUGUGGAUGCUUAUGGCCGACCCACAGGAACAACGGGGUACCAGAGUGCAGUGGACAGUCGCACAAGCACCACAGUGAGCGGAGGCUCUUCCUAUUACUAUGAUGAUUAUAAACACACAUCACGGAGCAGUUCCAGUAGCCACAAACUCGCACCCAAGAAUCUCGCCCCUGCAGUAGUCUCCUCUAAACGCAGUAAGCACAGGAAGCAGGGAAUGGAGCAGAAGAUUUCUAAAUUCUCCCCUAUUGAGGAAGCGCGGGAUGUGGAGUCGGACCUUGCUUCAUACACAAUGACAACAUCAACAGGAGGCAGCUGUACAGUUGUGUCCAGAACCAAGAAGAUUCAGGAUGACGGCACCUACGGGAUGAAGAAGAACGCAUAUGACCAGCAGAAAUAUUACGGCACCAGUCGAGAUGGUCUUGAGGAGGAGGACCGCAUGUAUAGCUCCGGGAGGUCCAGAUCCACUGGAUAUGGUAUGGACAAGAUUUCAUCCAGAGAUGCCACAGGCCACAGGAGCAAAUCUUACGAGAGAGACGCUAUGGAGAGGUCUCAGAGAAGCAGCCGCAGUGGAAGGGCUCCAGUGCGCACCCAGAACUCAGAAGAGGAAAGCCCGCUCAGUCCUGUUGGAAAGCCUGUAGGCAUGGGAAGAAGCUCUGGCAUAGCAGACGCCCAUGAUGUGAGGAACCAGUACGGCUCCAGCCAUUCGCUGCCAGAUGUGCAGGACCAUCACAAGAAGGACCUGCCCAGGAGUCAUGUCUAUAAACCAGAUGACCCUUACCUAGUAGAUGACAUGCACUGUGCUGUUUCUGACAGUGAAGCCUAUCAUUUGGGCCAAGAGGAGACUGAUUGGUUUGAGAAGCCACGAGAGGCCCGUUCUGAACGCUCAAGACAUCAUGGAGGUGGAGGUCACUCAUCCACAGGCAGGCGUAGUAAACACACCUACCAUGAUUAUGAUGAACCUCCAGAGGAAUACUGUCCCCAGGAUGAUUACAGCCAACAACGACACUCCUCCUCAACACCACGAGAUCACCGUCACCAUGGCAGCAGUUCUGGUAGACACAGUUCUUCCCGCCACACCUCAGAGGAUCCCAGGUCGUCCCGUUCUUCCAGGACACACCCCAAAGACCCAAAUGUCCGCUCUGAUGGCAGAAGCUCUUCAUCUGCACAAAGAAGAGGCGGUCCAGACACUCGUUCUAGCCAGGGAAGCCCCCGGAACUCAGGUGACUUCUCUCGAGAGUCUGGUCAUCACCACGGCACGGGGGGACGGAGCCAGAGACCCCAAGGAGAUCGGACAACCCCCAGAAGGCAGGAUCCGUCCACAGCAGGGCCUAAAUCCCAGCAGCAGCAGCAGCCCUCUCAGGCCCAUACUGGGCAGCAGCGGUCAGGUGGUCAGGGACAGUCUGGGAGACAUCCAGAACAGCUUGAUGGUACCCAGCAGGGACAGCAGCAGCAGCAGCAGCAGAGUGCACAACAACAACAACAACAACAGCAGCAGCAGCAGCCACCGCAGCACAGCCAGACGCCUCAAGGCAGCCAGCCUGCAACAACCACCGCAGGAGCCGGACCGGCACAGCAGCAGCCCAAACCCGGCCAAGCCACACCACAGGGACGCCAGCCUGGAGCAGGGUCUGCAGCAGGGCAGCCAGCUACGACAGCGGCAAAAAUGGAUGCUGCACCUGCAGCAGCAGCAGCAGCCGCAGCCACAGGAGUGAAACCUACGACAGUAGUCCCACCAGCACCUCAGUCCACCAAAACAGCCACCCCUCCUCUAACAGGCAUCGGCUCCAAGGCCGCUCCUGUAGGGAUUGGUAGCAAACCCAUGGGUAUCGGCAGCGCCGCCGCAGCACCGCCACCCGCUGAAGGGGACAACGUUCUCACUAAAAUCCUGCAAGGAGGCGCAGCAGAGCAGGCGGGAAAACUGGGAGAUGCUUUGUCUGGCCUUGGAAAGAAGUUCACUUCUUUUUGGUGAACUAAAGAGAGGAGGGGGAUGCAGAGUCGAAAUGAGAUGGAUUGGUAGCUUUGUACUUGAAAAACCUAUGAAACUGCAUUAAAUACAUUUCACAUUACAGAAGAAGAGAUCGAGGAGGAGAUUUCCUGAGUGCAUCAAGCUGGAAUCAAAGGAUGCCUUGUCAGCACUGAAUUCCCCAGACAUGGGCGCACGAUUGAAGUGAAUUAAAUAAGGGCAAUCGCUUCGUCAGCACGGUGUUACAAGACACGAGCAGAGGGCUGAAGAGGCCUGAAAGUAAGUGGAUGCCUUGACAGAGCUACAGUCCCAGAAUGAUGAUUGUGGAGACAUCUGAAGCCUCAUUGGACCGAUGGUGAGAGGACGGUCGAUAAUGAGGAUGUGGAGAAGCGGAGAGCAGAGGGGGAAGGGGGACUCGAGUCCUGCUUCCCCUCCUCCUCUCAGAGAAAUCCUCCUGGGAUCUGUGUGACAGUAAAAGGCCCGCUGACAGAGGCACCUGGAUA